rnacentral:rRNA from 1 species
UAGGGAAUCUUCGGCAAUGGGGGGAACCCUGACCGAGCAACGCCGCGUGAGUGAAGAAGGUUUUCGGAUCGUAAAGCUCUGUUGUUAAGGAAGAACGAGUGUGAGAAUGGAAAGUUCAUACUGUGACGGUACUUAACCAGAAAGGGACGGCUAACUACGUGCCAGCAGCCGCGGUAAUACGUAGGUCCCGAGCGUUGUCCGGAUUUAUUGGGCGUAAAGCGAGCGCAGGCGGUUAGAAAAGUCUGAAGUGAAAGGCAGUGGCUCAACCAUUGUAGGCUUUGGAAACUGUUUAACUUGAGUGCAGAAGGGGAGAGUGGAAUUCCAUGUGUAGCGGUGAAAUGCGUAGAUAUAUGGGGGAACACCAGUGGCGAAGGCGACUCUCUGGUCUGUAACUGACGCUGAGGUUCGAAAGCGUGGGUAGCAAACAGG